GGAUGUGAGGGUGAUCUGGCUGCGACAUCUGUCACCCCAUUGAUCACCAGGGUUGAUUCGGCUGAUCUGGCUGACUGGGCAGGUACCCCUUCCUCCCUCACUGCUCCGUGUGUGUCCCUCCAGAAGCUGUGCGCUCAGUGGAAGAGGAUGACCAUCCCCGAUAGAGGAGGAUCGGUCUUCAGUCAAAGGUAUAAGAGUAGCUGCGCUCGGCCGGGCGCGGUGGCUCAAGCCUGUAAUCCCAGCACUUU
rnacentral:snRNA from 10 species